rnacentral:rRNA from 1 species
UACGUAGGUGGCGAGCGUUGUCCGGAUUUAUUGGGUUUAAAGGGUGCGUAGGCGGCCCUGUAAGUCAGUGCUGAAAUAUCCCGGCUUAACCGGGAGGGUGGCAUUGAUACUGCAGGGCUUGAAUGAAGUUGAAGUGGGCGGAAUUGACGGUGUAGCGGUGAAAUGCUUAGAUAUCGUCAAGAACACCGAUAGUGAAGACAGCUCACUAAGCUUCUAUUGACGCUGAGGCACGAAAGUGUGGGGAUCAAACAGG